UGAACUAGCCGCAAGCUGGACCCAGCGACGCCGCGUGGAGGGAUGAGGCCUUCGGGUUGUAACCUCUGUUUUCAAGGGAAGAAUGGAGAGAGUUCCCAGCAGGAUGAGCUCCGAUGUAACUGUGUGACAACCCCCGGGAUAAUUCCGUGCCAGCAGCCGCGGUAAU
rnacentral:rRNA from 1 species